rnacentral:rRNA from 1 species
GAUGAACGCUGGCGGCGUGCCUAAUACAUGCAAGUCGAGCGAACAGAUAAGGAGCUUGCUCCUUUGACGUUAGCGGCGGACGGGUGAGUAACACGUGGGUAACCUACCUAUAAGACUGGGAUAACUUCGGGAAACCGGAGCUAAUACCGGAUAACAUUUGGAACCGCAUGGUUCUAAAGUGAAAGAUGGUUUUGCUAUCACUUAUAGAUGGACCCGCGCCGUAUUAGCUAGUUGGUAAGGUAACGGCUUACCAAGGCGACGAUACGUAGCCGACCUGAGAGGGUGAUCGGCCACACUGGAACUGAGACACGGUCCAGACUCCUACGGGAGGCAGCAGUAGGGAAUCUUCCGCAAUGGGCGAAAGCCUGACGGAGCAACGCCGCGUGAGUGAUGAAGGGUUUCGGCUCGUAAAACUCUGUUAUUAGGGAAGAACAAAUGUGUAAGUAACUGUGCACGUCUUGACGGUACCUAAUCAGAAGGCCACGGCUAACUACGUG